UACUAUGUGGUUCAUAAACUAUUUAUAUCACUUAAAAAUCUUAUUUAUACAUGUUUAGGAAUGAAAUGAGGCAUUUAAACAUAUUUAUUUUAUAAACCUGAUUUCUUCAGUUUGUCACUUUUUGUGAAUAAGAUUGCAUAAUGGAUAGGCUGCUAAAUAGCAAUAAGUCUUGUUUGCUACUCUGUUCAAUCAUAUUAUUAAUUUAAUUUAAUAUUUAUGACAUUGGAACCAAUAUAAAGUUAUUGUCAUAUGAUGAUAAUUCAAUGCAGUAGAUUUUAUUAGUUGACCAUUCACUUGUGAGUAGUGCUUUUAGUAUGUAUGAAAUAUAAAAUAACUUCUACUAAGGAUGCUGCAAUCAGAAUAAUUACACACAAAUGUAAAAGGCUGUAUUUAUUAAUUCAAAUAAAUAUUAUCUUAUAGGCCAGUGGUUUUCACAGGGGAGUGACCUUGAAAUGUGCCACAAAAACCUAUUAAUAGUUGUAUAAUCUUGUAUUUAUCAGUAUUAUUAUAGAUAUUUGGUGAAAACUGAUAGAUAACAAACAUAAAAAAAGGCUAAAUCAUUAAUUGUAGAUUUGUAUAAUAGUAUAAUAAUAUAAUAGUAUUUAAUAUUAGUAUGCCCAUUGCAGGGGCCAUCUUGAUCAUUUUAUGCAGCACAAAAUAUUUUAUUGUGUGCACAAUACUCAUUGUAGGUAUUUUUUUGUGUUUUUAAUGACUUAUGUUUUACAAGAUAUAUUUUUAUAAUACUUGUAAUUUUAAUUUGUAAAAUGGAUACAUUUAUAAUAAAUUCAACUGACAGUAUUUCAGCGAGUGAAUAACCAAAGAAAAAAACUAAAUUGAAUACCAAACAUCAAAAGAUAACAAUAAAAAUAUGACUAAUGGC